UUGCAGAAAUUAGAGGGAGUAGAGAAAGAAGAAGAGAGGAUGAAGAAUAUGGACAAUGUUAUUCAUUGCUUACUUCACACAACGGCUAUAAGCCUAUUUAAACAAACUUUACAAAGUGAAACGGUCAUCUGUCUUAUCAAGGCAGAUAAAAAACAAAUAAUAUAAACAAUAUAAAUUUGAAUAAGAAAGGACUUGAGUGGGCUUGAUAAAACAAAGGCCCAAACAAGCUAAGUAUAGAACCAGCCCAAAGUGGAACCCAUCUCUUCAAGAUGAAGACCUGAGUCUUCACUAGGGCUUGCAAAAGAGAAACUCUUCUCAAGAAGAAUGAAGGCGCGAACCAGAGAGGAAGCUCAGAGACGCGCGAACACAGAGGGAGUUUAUCACCCCCCCUCAAGUUAAGCAUGGUCAAUUUUGAUGAUUGAGCAUGAUUAACUUGUCGGUAAGGAUUCGAAGACGAUGAGCUGAAACCGCUUUGGUUAAAAUGUCUCCUGGUUGUUCAUCAGUCUUAAGGUGUUGGUAAGAUCCCAGAAGUAUUUCCAGACAUCAUAGUAGUGAAUGUUGCAGCGGAUUGAUUGAUGGUGGAAUUAAGAUUCUUCGCACUCUUCAAGAUUUGAGAAAUCUCUUCAAGUGUCGUUGAUGAAGAUAUGUUGUAUUCACUGGCUGGAAUCUGUGAAUCAUCAGCAUAGCAUGAAGCUAUGGAUUGUAAUACUUCAGCAAUUGUAGUUGCUGGAGUCAUAUUGUUUCCACUUGUAGGAAUCAGUGUAUUUGGAUCAGUAACCUGCUCCGAUACCAUGAUAGUUUUUGUAGAUUGCUUUGUAGAAUUGCAGAAAUUAGAGGGAGUAGAGAAAGAAGAAGAGAGGAUGAAGAAUAUGGACAAUGUUAUUCAUUGCUUACUUCACACAACGGCUAUAAGCCUAUUUAAACAAACUUUACAAA